UACGUAGGUGGCAAGCGUUGUCCGGAUUUAUUGGGUUUAAAGGGUGCGUAGGCGGCCUAUUAAGUCAGUGCUGAAAUAUCCCGGCUUAACCGGGAGGGUGGCAUUGAUACUGAUGGGCUUGAGUAUAAAUAGAGGAUAAUGGAAUUUCUAUUGGAGGGAUAAAAUAUGUUGAUAAUAGAAGGAAGACCUAAAGCGAAGGCAAUUAUCUGGGUAUAUACUGACACUGAGAAACGAAAGCUUGGGGAGCAAACGGG
rnacentral:rRNA from 1 species